ACACUUGCGCUGUCAGAGGAACGCCUUAUAUUUGGCCCUGUCAGGGUUCGCCCUGUCUAUGAUGCUAAACUCUAGUCGAAAUAAUCGUUAUGGACCCGGGGGCAGUGCCCGGCGCCUCCACCACUCCAAGGUUCGUCACUCAAGGGAUUGCGAUCCCGACGGACGCUGUGGGGGCGAAACAGGAUCGACAUGCGUGGUAAAGGGCUAGACUGUAUCCGGCAUUGUACCGCCGUCAUCGGGCUAUAUUUACACAUGCCAACGACAACGUUGAGUAUGCCGCUGCCGCUUAAUAACCGGUAAGCGCGGUUCGGAGGGCACCGGGCAACAGAAGCCCUCCACU
rfam:Insolitispirillum peregrinum strain DSM 11589 genome assembly, contig: Ga0111619_105